CUCUCUACCCUUUCCUGUCGUUGUUCCAUCACUUCUACUCUCAGUCCAACACUCAUGAUGUUCCUCUUCUCUCUCUUCCUAUGAACCCUCCUUCUUCUUCUCCUCCUUCCACCAACAGUGGUCCAGUUUCCUCCAGCAUCCUGUUGGUGAACAGCACUGAUGGAGGUCGUGGUUUUGACUGAUCCAUAUGGAUAUCAUAGAUCUGAUCCACAUAUUCAAUUUGUCAAAGAUUAAACCCCGGAUGCCCUUCCUGACUCGACCCUCUGGAUUUGGACUGGCCCAGUGAGACCCGGCUUGGACUCCUCAUGACAACAGUUCUGCGCUUUAGAACAAUGACUCCAUUUUACUGUACAGUAAACCACUGAGAGAACAGAACGUUCGGAGUGGUAAAUGCACUUAAUGCAGGACGCCACCUAGAGGUGAAACUUAGAUCAAUGAGGAAUUUCUAAAGAUUCAGUCAGGGGAACAUGUCUCCAUGGGGAUGUCUUGAUGUUCAUCAUUUCUUGUGUUUAAAGUAAAACUUUAGGAGAGUAAAGAUCAACAUUCAGAUAAAUGAGGUCGACUAACACGAAUGUUACAGGGAACAUCAAAAAUCUAAAAGUUAUAGUUUGUUUAGAACAGAUUCAAUCCAGAUCAUUCCAACGAGUUCAGGCCCAGUUUAGUGUUUCUAGAUACGUUUAUAUAUUUUAAAGAAACAGAUUCAUUGGAGAAUUUAAGGCAGUUUUUUUCUCAGAUAAAACUAAAGAUUGAAACCAACAGAUCCUGCAGUUCCAGCUGCUCAUCAGAAGGUCUCCUUGGAGAUGAAGAGGUUUGAUGCACAUCUGCAUCUAUGGACAUCAAAGGGUUAAAGCUGCUGAACCGUUCUGUGGGUUAGAUCAGUGUUUUCAACCUUUUUGAGCCAAGGUACACUUUUUCCAUGAAAAAAAUCCCACGGCACACUAGCAUCAAAAAGGUCAAAAAAUGAGUCUGUAUUGAUGUACAGUCCCUCCACAACCUAGUGUACAUGUUUGAUAUAAGUGGGAAACAUCAUUAAUCAAUUUGGUCAAGUUAAACAUAUAUCUCGUCAAAACAGUCCACAUUUAUUAUCAUUAAUCAAU